rnacentral:siRNA from 1 species
AACCCCUACAGGAACUGCCACAGC